UUGACCGUACAAAGGUGGCAUAAUAAUUAGUUUAUNAAUNGUAAACUUGAAUGAAUGAUUGGACGAGAGAUNACUGUGUCUAAUCAAGAGUGAUGAAUUUAAUUUUUUAUUGAGAAGGAUAAAAUUUAUUUGAAAGAGGAGAAGACCCCGUAGAUCUUUAUGAGUUAGUUAAUUUAAGUAUUGUUUAAUGAAUAGCUUAUUAUUUAGUUGGGGUAAUUUGGUUUAUAAAUAUUUUUUUAUUAGACAAUUAAAUGUUGAUUUUAUGACCUAUUAAGUAGUAGUUUGAUUAAGUUACCACGGGGAUAACAGCAUAAUUUAGUUUGGAGU
rnacentral:rRNA from 1 species